rnacentral:lncRNA from 1 species
ACGAUGGCUGGGACUCCUAUACCUUCUGGGUCUGAGAUGUGAGGUUAGCCCCUAGAAUUUUGCCUACUGACUGCAGGCAAAGUGACAAGCUACCUUUCCUGGGAGAAUCAGAUACCACAGGGUUUUGGAAGGACAUGAAUACCAUUCUGAAAAUAUCAGGUCAACAACUUAUAGAUGUCAUAACACAUUGUUGGGAUGUUAUAGCAAUACACAUAUAUAUAAAAUGUAUGAAUGCCAACUGGUUUAUCUCCCCUGACUGUCUUAGUCCCACCACUGGCCUGGCGCCUGUGAUUAAAUUCUCUAAACUAAAUGCUGCCAUCUGCUGUCCAUGUUGUGAAACUGCAUUAGUGGUUGUACGGGAUUCAUUCUGCUUUGUAGUCAAAUCAGUAAGGGGUCUGAACUCCGACAUCUGCUAGGUCUCUAGCCCUGAAGUUAAGAGGUGCUGUUUGUUGGAUUUCAGAAGCAGUUUGAAGAGUUUAUAAUAACACCUAGAGUGAGCCUUGAUAGCAAAAUUUUCUAUAGUUUAUGGAACUGUAACUUCUAACUUGAACUUGAACUUGUAACUUUGUGACACCCAGAAACUAAGAACCUCCCAGUUGGGACUGGAGGAUCCUAACACUCAUAGAAGCAAAAGGCUCCAGGACUGACUGCCUUAGUAAUGUGUCUGACUCACAGGGCAGAGGCAACCUAGCGCUUGAAGGGAAGCCCCCAGCACCCUUCCUUAGCGCCAUCUCUUGCUAGGACAGCCAC